rnacentral:rRNA from 1 species
CUACGGGUUGCUGCAGUCGAGAAUCUUCCGCAAUGGACGAAAGUCUGACGGAGCGACGCCGCGUGGUGGAUGAAGUCCUUAGGGACGUAAACACCUUUUAUGAGGGAGGAAGUUUAUUGACGUUACCUCAUGAAUAAGGGGCUCCCAACUCUGUGCCAGCAGGAGCGGUAAUACAGAGGCCUCAAGCAUUAUCCGGAUUCACUGGGCGUAAAGGGUGCGUAGGCGGUGAUGUUAGUCAGGUGUUAAAUCCUUGGGCUCAACCCAAGAAUCGCAUUUGAAACGGCAUCACUAGAAGAAGUCAGAGGUAAGCAGAACUCUCGGUGUAGGGGUGAAAUCCGUUGAUAUCGAGGGGAAUACCAAAUGCGAAGGCAGCUUACUGGGACUUUCUUGACGCUGAGGCACGAAAGCGUGGGUAGCGAAUGGGAUUAGAUACCCCUGUAGUC